rnacentral:rRNA from 1 species
UUUAACUGAAGAGUUUGAUCAUGGCUCAGAUUGAACGCUGGCGGCAGGCUUAACACAUGCAAGUCGAGCGGGGGAAGGUAGCUUGCUACUGGACCUAGCGGCGGACGGGUGAGUAAUGCUUAGGAAUCUGCCUAUUAGU